GAAGCCCACAUGCCCCCAGACUUCAGAAGCAGUCCUGCUGCCAAGUCCUGCUGCCAAGCACUCACUUCCACACCCAGACGCACGAGCCCCACUUCAGCCCCCAGGAGAUAGAGAUGCUGAUGCAGAGGGUGGUACGCCGCCAUCCGCUGCUAUUGGAGCUCUGUGGGGCACACCAUCAUGGAAGCUUCGGGUGUGGAAGAGGAUCCUUCAGGCUGUGAACUCUGUGCUACUGCUGCACAUGACCUGAGUGACCGCAAGUGAAGAGACCUUUGUGGUGCUGUGCACACUAAACCUAUGAAGAGUUCUGUCCCUGGUCUUGUCCUCACUCCCAUUGGACCAUGGUAGCUGAGAACGUCUCGGUUUUUCUAUUCUUCAACACAAAGGCCAAGCAGGGGAGCCCCAGCCAGAAAUCUGCACUGUCUCCCAGCUGCAAAGCCACCUGAGCCAAGCCUGUCUGCUGCUUAUCCCUGCUCACGAGAAAGAAACCCUAUGGCAGCUGCGCUCAUGAAAGUGAAAGCAGUGCGUUCUCCCUACUGGAUGGAGGUAAGAGGACGAUCUCUCAAGAACACAGGGAGCAGGCUCUGCCGGGAGCUUCAGAAGAGAUGCAGCCUGCAGUCCACUCGACACCCAACCAGCCAGGAGAAGGAAGUCUGUCUUAAGCUGCCGCCUGUGGGACUGUGCUAACACAGCCAAGUUGGCUGCUUCAGAGAAGAGACUGAGAAGGGGCCCCUUCUACCUGAGUGUAUGUGUCGGAAUGGGAGAGGAGAAAACUGAGACACAGAGAUGCCAGGCAACUGAUCUGAUCCUAUGACAGCAGAAGGUGGAACUGGCUCUCCUACAUCCCUGAGACUAUUGUGUUGCAUACCCAGUUCCCACGUAUGCACUGGCCAUGUUGGCUGAGCCUGGGGCAGCAGGGUGGACAUGGGCUCCUACCCUUGACCAUAUGACUUCUCAGGAGCACACACUUCUAUUUGCAGACUGAAUCACACACUUUCUCCUUUGUUUGCUCAGA